rnacentral:rRNA from 1 species
UACAGAGGGGGCAAGCGUUGUUCGGAAUUACUGGGCGUAAAGCGUGCGCAGGCGGCUAUGUAAGACAGAUGUGAAAUCCCCGGGCUCAACCUGGGAACUGCAUUUGUGACUGCAUAGCUAGAGUACGGUAGAGGGGGAUGGAAUUCCGCGUGUAGCAGUGAAAUGCGUAGAUAUGCGGAGGAACACCGAUGGCGAAGGCAAUCCCCUGGACCUGUACUGACGCUCAUGCACGAAGGCCAGGGGAGCAAACGGG